rnacentral:rRNA from 1 species
AUCCAGACUCCUACGGGAGGCAGCAGUGGGGAAUAUUGCACAAUGGGGGAAACCCUGAUGCAGCGACGCCGCGUGAGUGAAGAAGUAUUUCGGUAUGUAAAGCUCUAUCAGCAGGGAAGAAGAAGGACGGUGCCUGAGUAAGAAGCCCCGGCUAACUACGUGCCAGCAGCCGCGGUAAUACGUAGGGGGCAAGCGUUAUCCGGAUUUACUGGGUGUAAAGGGGGCGCAGACGGCAGCGCAAGCCAGGAGUGAAAGCCCGGGGCCCAACCCCGGGACUGCUCUUGGAACUGCGCGGCUGGAGUGCAGGAGGGGCAGGCGGAAUUCCUGGUGUAGCGGUGAAAUGCGUAGAUAUCAGGAGGAACACCGGUGGCGAAGGCGGCCUGCUGGACUGCGACUGACGUUGAGGCCCGAAAGCGUGGGGAGCAAACAGGAUUAGAUACCCCUGUA